UACGUAGGGUGCGAGCGUUAAUCGGAAUUACUGGGCGUAAAGCGUGCGUAGGCGGUUCGCUGUGUCCGAUGUGAAAGCCCCGGGCUUAACCUGGGAAUGGCAUUGGAAACUGGCGGGCUUGAGUGCGGCAGAGGGGGGUGGAAUUCCAGGUGUAGCGGUGAAAUGCGUAGAUAUCUGGAGGAACACCGGUGGCGAAGGCGGCAUCCUGGACCGACAUUGACGCUGAGGCGCGAAAGCCAGGGGAGCAAACGGG
rnacentral:rRNA from 1 species